GAUGAACUCUGGCGGCGUGCCUAAUACAUGCAAGUCGAGCGAACAGAUAAGGAGCUUGCUCCUUUGACGUUAGCGGCGGACGGGUGAGUAACACGUGGGUAACCUACCUAUAAGACUGGGAUAACUUCGGGAAACCGGAGCUAAUACCGGAUAAUAUUUCGAACCGCAUGGUUCGAUAGUGAAAGAUGGUUUUGCUAUCACUUAUAGAUGGACCCGCGCCGUAUUAGCUAGUUGGUAAGGUAACGGCUUACCAAGGCGACGAUACGUAGCCGACCUGAGAGGGUGAUCGGCCACACUGGAACUGAGACACGGUCCAGACUCCUACGGGAGGCAGCAGUAGGGAAUCUUCCGCAAUGGGCGAAAGCCUGACGGAGCAACGCCGCGUGAGUGAUGAAGGUCUUCGGAUCGUAAAACUCUGUUAUUAGGGAAGAACAUACGUGUAAGUAACUGUGCACGUCUUGACGGUACCUAAUCAGAAAGCCACGGCUAACUACGUG
rnacentral:rRNA from 1 species